UUGUGUUGAUGUGGGCAUUUGCGCAGAAGGUCCAUAAAGUGUUCCCAUGUCUCGAAAAAUUGUUCCCUAUCCUAUUGUGAGAAACUAGUGAUGACCUUCCUCAGCUG